UGACGCCGCUGUCGGGCAGCAAUAUUUGAACAUACCAGGACUACCUGUGGACAGAGUCUUCCGGGGACUUUUGGACGAGGUUCAGAUUUCCUCCC